GGCUCGGUAGCUUAGUUGAUAAAGCAAUCGUCUGACAUACAAAAGUCGUGGGUUGAAAUCUCACCUUAGCAC
rnacentral:tRNA from 1 species